rnacentral:rRNA from 1 species
GAUGAACGCUGACAGAAUGCUUAACACAUGCAAGUCAACUUGAAUUUGGGUUUUUUAACUUAGAUUUGGGUGGCGGACGGGUGAGUAACGCGUAAAGAACUUGCCUCACAGCUAGGGACAACAUUUGGAAACGAAUGCUAAUACCUGAUAUUAUGAUUAUAAGGCAUCUUAGAAUUAUGAAAGCUAUAUGCGCUGUGAGAGAGCUUUGCGUCCCAUUAGCUAGUUGGAGAGGUAACGGCUCACCAAGGCGAUGAUGGGUAGCCGGCCUGAGAGGGUGAACGGCCACAAGGGGACUGAGACACGGCCCUUACUCCUACGGGAGGCAGCAGUGGGGAAUAUUGGACAAUGGACCAAGAGUCUGAUCCAGCAAUUCUGUGUGCACGAUGACGUUUUUCGGAAUGUAAAGGGCUUUCAGUUGGGAAGAAAAAAAUGACGGUACCAACAGAAGAAGUGACGGCUAAAUACGUG